UACAGAGGUCUCAAGCGUUGUUCGGAUUCAUUGGGCGUAAAGGGUGCGUAGGUGGCGCCAUAAGUCGGGUGUGAAAUUUCGGAGCUUAACUCCGAAACUGCAUUCGAUACUGCCGUGCUUGAGGACUGGAGAGGAGACUGGAAUUUACGGUGUAGCGGUGAAAUGCGUAGAUAUCGUAAGGAAGACCAGUGGCGAAGGCGGGUCUCUGGACAGUUCCUGACGCUGAGGCACGAAGGCCAGGGGAGCAAACGGG
rnacentral:rRNA from 1 species